CUCUCUGGCGGCAACUCUCACCGAACUCGCUCCUUUGCCGCCCUCUCCCGCGCCACCCAGCCCCCUACCCGCCACCGCGUCCGGGAUCUCUGCAUUCCCGCCCGAGGGCCCCGCGCUGGGACCGGAGAGGCGCGCGGCUCCUGCCCGAGGCCCCGGGAACCGCCUCCAGUCCCUGUACCCGUCGAGUCUGGCUGCUUCGAGGCGUCGAUGGCUCCUGGGACCGAAUCCGGGGUUCCAGGGGCCAAGGCAGGGAGCAGGCUCAGGCUUGGGAACCGUAUCCUUGGGGUUUUCUUUCCUCCUCUCUGGGCCGCGAGUGGCACUUUCUCAUGUUUCUGCGGCCUCCCCCUCUCUCCCGACCCUGAGUGUCCUGUCUGGUGCCCGCAGCAGGUCUGACUCUCUGAUGCCAUCUGCCGCUCAUAUUCUCAGAAACCGCCACACCGCUCGCAGACACCAAGGCGGUAGGGUAAUCCAGUGUUUCCCGGUAUCUGGAGAAGAAACGUCAAAGGUUACAGGAGCCCGUCCAGCCUUAGGCCAAGUCCUCUUGGCAUAUCGCGACGGGGAAUCUGGGAGUUUGACACGGAAGCUAGCAGGAUGUGUGUGACCUGAAACUCCAGAACGCACGAGAAAGAACAGGAAGAAGCAGACACUGACGAUGUGGAGGGGCUGUUCCCACCCCCAUGAGCCAGGGCAGCUAGAGCCACCUCCACCUGUGGGAUGAAGUCCUUUCCCUGCUGUGUAGGAAAGCCCUUUGUCCCAUGGACCCUCUGGCCUCCCCUCACAAGGCGCCUCCCAGCAGCCUGACCUCCACUUCCCUCUUCACACUGCGGAAACCACAGGCCCCUUCACUCCUCCAUCACAGGACUCCGGAACUGCGGCUGUUCAGUAGGAAAGACCAAAAGCAAAUGGUAAACAAGAGAGAAGACACACAUGCACACACAAAUAAAAACAGCAGCAGCCACACCACUACCACCACCGCCACAGCUGCGGGCACACCAGGGGACUGGGCCAAGAGCUGCCCAGGAGGCUGUCAGGACUGAACUCACGGAAGUCUUUGUGCAAGCUCUACCUUCCAGGAGCCUUAGCCAGGGCUGCAAAUCAGCUCCUAGUGGACCAGACUCAAGACUCAGAUGGAAGUCUCUGGCAAGAGGAGAGAUGGCUGCAGAAUGAGACACCUUUCUCCUGGAAAGCCCCACCACUGCCCCUCCCCAGUUUGCUCUGGGGGCAAGCUGGCUGCAGAGCAGACCCAGUGCUAAGGAAGACACCCCUCUUAGGUCUGCCAUGGUGGCCUGCUGGAUCCAGCCCACCCUCCAGCCAGCAAAUGGAGUUUGGGUACUUGAAAGCCCUCGGGAAGGCACAGGGGCUUUCCAGCUGACUCCUGUUGGGGCGAUCGGAAGUGGGGAAUGAAGAGACCUCUGGAGGCAGGUGUGGGAGCACUUGAGGGAGAUCUGGCAUCCCCAGUCCUGCCUCUAACUAGCCCUGAUUACAUUUUUUUUAAAGACAGACACAAUAUCUUUAUUUUUAUGUGGUGCUGAGGAUUGAACCCAGUCCCUCCCAUGUGCUAGGCAAUUGCUUUACUGCUGAGUUACAACCCCAGCCCCCUAAUUACAUUUAAGGGCUGUGAUAGUUCAAUUGUUUUUGCAACUUCUCUCCAGGGGAAAUAGAAACUUAAUUUAGAUUUUCCCUUAGUGUCUACAAUGUGCAAACUUUCCUAGCAGCAUCUUAGACUUGGGUUAUGAAGCCUGGAGAGAGGAGUGAAUUGAAUUCAUGUCUCGAUAAGAUUUCAUUGGACAUGCCCAGUCCUGUACAAUGCAAUGAUUUUAAGCUAAUAUUUGUAUUUACACUAAAAAAACCCAAGUUAUCUUUGCCUUUUUACUCGAGAGCUUGUUUGGAGGUUCUAGAA